rnacentral:rRNA from 1 species
UACGGGGGGGGGCAAGCGUUGUUCGGAAUUACUGGGCGUAAAGGGCUCGUAGGCGGCCAACUAAGUCGGAUGUGAAAUCCCCCAGGCUCAACCUGGGAACUGCAUCCGAUACUGGAUGGCUUGAAUCCGGGAGAGGGAUGCAGAAUUCCAGGUGUAGCGGUGAAAUGCGUAGAUAUCUGGAGGAAUACCGGUGGCGAAGGCGGCAUCCUGGACCGGCAUUGACGCUGAUGAGCGAAAGCUAGGGGAGCAAACGGG